UAGCUAUUCAACUUCUUGUUUAU
rnacentral:miRNA from 1 species